rnacentral:lncRNA from 1 species
GUCUACUUCUUUAUGCUGAGAGAGCUAGAGGUAGUACAAGAAAGCUACACACUGAUUUGCAAGAGGACUUCAAAUUUCAGGUUCCAUCCUUUUACGAUAUUCUUUGUAUGUGGUAGUUCUAUUGCAAGUGAUUGAUUGAAGACCUCUUUUUUUCUUGACACUAUGGAAAGCCAUUAAGUUUCUAAAAUUCUUAGUUGGACAUAAUGAAUCUUAGACGACCCAAGUUCUUUUGUGUGAUUCCCGAUGAGAUCGUUGUCUACUGCAUAAUAAUAGAAAAGAAGUUGCAAAUCUGAUGAAAUGGACACUGCAUGUUCUGUAACUAGACUAUGCCCGUAUCAUACGCUUCUACUUUCAGACAAGAGAAGCUGCUUACUGUGUUUCAUUGUUCUUCUGAUGUCCCUUUGAAGAAAUACAACAUAAAUUUCUUUUGCCAGGUUUACUUGACAUCAUUAUAGUGUGCUCUUGUUGAACUGGUCUCAUGAUGUCUAUGAUGACGUGCAGGAGGGGGAUGACCCACACGGCCAUGAACAUGUUCUGCCUGUCGGCAAAGCAACUCCAGGUGCUUGCCAUCCCUCACCGAGCCCUCCCUUCGUGCCUACGGCUGACAGUUCAUUGAGGAGGCCAGCAUCCUUUUCGAAAUGUAUCCCCCCUCCUCUUGCUUUAACAUUUAUCAAGGUGAGAAGCAUCCCCAUGUCUCAGUUUUCUUCUUAUUUCAGGUUUUGACAACGGAAGAUUAUUCACUUUUUACUGUUACUUUCACCAGCAAACCAAUGAUCACUAUAUGAUAUUGAUAUAUCCUCAAAGUUUAUCUUAAUUUUGAGCAAUACACUUUUUGUUUAUAUGCAGAAUCUAUGGAGUGUGCUUUUGCAUGUAUUGACCUUGCUUAUGAAUUGUUUGUACAACUCAUUCCAUGUAAAGCUAAUGCUUUAGUUACAUAAAUAUCCAAUUUAAGAAUUAUAUGCUCGCUUUUUCCUAAAAACAUUUUUCCUAAUGUAUCGUGACAGUGCAUGUAUGAUUGAUGGGGAAUGGUUAUGUAUCAUGACCUAUCUUCCAUAAUAUAUUUUAUAUGAAUGUGAGUCAUGUUCUUUUUAUAUUGACAUAAAUGCUUAGUUAUUCAUUUUCCAGUAUUUUAUUUCGUGUCUUGAUUCUGCAAAGCUAACAUAUCAUCGCAAUGGAGUAUGUACCUCUAGAAUUUUUGUCUGGAUCUGUUUAGAUUUGUAUACAUAGUCUUUCCGGUUCAUGUUGAGCCAUAGUAGUAUAAAGUAUUAACAUCGAAUUUUCCGGGUUAUGUAAUUUUAGCCUAACCUAAGAUGGAGUACAACCAGUGGCUGCAUUUAAUUUUCCAUUUCAUUAUUAUUUUCUACCUAUCCUUAUUUCUUUUAUGAAGUACCCAUGUGCUAAGUUGUAAGCUAACUUUUGUGUUAACUGUUUAUUUCUUUUUGUCCUUCAAAUCUUUUUAUUGUGACUAGAGGUACCUCCUAACUCGGGUGGCUGAAUCUCCUUGUAUACUAUAACUUCAAGUAUAGCUAUGGUACCUUCAUAGUUAUAGUCUUACAAAAUAGAUAUUGACCAUUUUCACUUAUUUCAAUUAUAUAUGCGUGUACAUUCUAGCCACUGUUGUUGCUUUUGUGAUGGCACUAAGUGUCUGUCAAAAUUGGAAAUUACCAAAUGUAUGUGUACCUUGUACCUUAAUGGUAGCUACUGCAACAUGUUUGCGCUAAUUAUAUUUUGCUAUUGGAUUUGGCAAUGGUUUUGUGUAUGUCACCUCCAGAGAUAUCUUGAUGCAUCAUUGGUCUUCAUUU